rnacentral:rRNA from 1 species
ACAUGCAGUCGUAACGAGCGUANUNNNGAGAGCUUGCGUCCCAAAGUUAGCGGCGGACGGGUGAGUAACACGUGGGUAACCUGCCUGUAAGACUGGGAUAACUUCUGGAAACCGGAGCUAAUACCGGAUAACAUCGAAGACCACAUGGUCUUCCAUUAAAAGGUGGCUUUUAGCUACCACUUACAGAUGGACCCGCGACGCAUUAGCUGGUUGGUGAGGUAACGGCGCACCAAGGCGACCAUGCGUAGCCAACCUGAGAGGGUGACCGGCCAACACUGGGCCUGAGACACGGCUCCAAACUUCUACGGGGAGGCAGCAGUAGGGGAAUCUUCCGCAAUGGGACGAAAGUCUGACGGAGCAACGCCGCGUGAGCGAAGAAGGCCUUUCGGGUCGUAAAGCUCUGUUGUUAGGGGAAGAACAAAGUAUCGUUCGAAUAGGGCGGUACCUUGACGGGACCUAACCAGAAAGCCAGGGCUUAACUACGUGCCAGCAGGCCGCGGAAAUACGUAGGGUGGCAAGCGUUAUUCGGAAAUUAUUGGGCGUAAAGCGGGGCGCGGGCGGUCCUUUAAGUUCUGAUGGUGAAAGCCCCACGGCUCAACCGUGGAGGGUCAUUGGGAAACUGGGGGGACUUGAGUGCAGAAAAAGGAGAGCGGGAAUUCCACGUGUAGGCGGUGAAAUGCGUAGAGAUGUGGAGGAACACCAUUGGCGAAGGCGGCUCCUCUGGUCUGUAACUGACGCUGAGGGCGCGAAAGCGUGGGGGAGCGAACAGGAUUAGAUACCCUGGGUAGCCCACGCCGUAAACGAUGAGUGCUAAGUGUUAGAAGGGUUUUCCGCCCUUUAGUGCUGCANNAACGCAUUAAGCACUCCGCCUGGGGAGNNCGGNNCNGGAUUGAAAUUAAAANAAUUGACCGGGGCCCCGNACNNGCGGUGAACAUGUGUUUAAAUUCGAAGCANNCGCNANGAACUUACCAGGUCUNGACANNCUNUGCACUCCCNGAGAGNUAGGGCNNGUCCUUNNNGAACCNAANNUAAAGGUGGUGCANGNNUNUCUUCAGCUCGGNCAGGNNUAGUAGGGUNAGUNNCNNNACGANCGCAANNNGAUCUUUAGUU